rnacentral:misc_RNA from 1 species
GGGAAAGCUAGUACCUUGAGGGUUUAUGCUUUGACACUUAGGGGCAUGUGGUUCAAUUGUUGACAAAAUUUUACCUUGAACUUUACUUUGUUAGCAGUUUAAGGACAAAUAAUCUAACCCCUUUUGUAAUCUUGAUGUGACAGUGUGCAAUCAAUAGAAUGAAAUAAAAAUAUUUUUUAUUUUAAUUAAAAUUUUUAAAUUUUCUAAUUAUUUGUGAGACCCAAGAUACGUUUGAAAAAAUAUUAUUUUAUUAGAAUUGGACUGCCACAUUUAGCAUAACUAGUGACAUUAGAGUAUUUGUCUUUAAAGUGCUAACAAAGUACAGCUCUGGAUACAAUUUUGUCAAAAAUUAAACCCCAAGCCUACAAGUGUCAAAUUGUGAAACCUUGGGGUACUUUUUUUUUUUUUAAUGCUUUUACCAUUUUGUUUUUUCCUAUUUCCAUCAAGCAAGCAUGAUAUGUAUGUGUAGAGACAGACACAUCUUGAGCUUUGAUGAUGUCUUGCAUAAAUUUGGAAUUCCUACUUAAAGAUCCUAUUUUUCCAUUUAACAUUUGGAAGUAUUGCCAUUCCUGUUGAAUUGGUGCUUCUGAGUGCUUCCCGCCUUUCUUUUAUUGUGAAUUUGUAUUUUAUGCCAUCAUCAUGUUAUUGAUACUGCAUAUUGAGCCUUGGUGGCUUUUCUUAGCUAAUAAGCCAAUUGGUUUUGUUUCAUGGAUUAUUUAUUCUGCAAAUUUGGUUUGGUGGAAAUGCUAUAUUUGUUCUUUCUUUUGAUGACACAGGGGAAUAGAAAGGAAACUCGAU